rnacentral:rRNA from 2 species
CAGUGGAUCACUCGGCUCACGGGUCGAUGAAGAACGCAGCCAGCUGCGAGACUUGGUGUGAAUUGCAGGACACAUUGAGCACUGAUUUUUCGAACGCGCAUUGCGCCCU